AUGCUCCCGUGGCGACGCAAAUGCGUCGCCGAGUGCCGCAGGCACGCCCGGGCCCUGCCCGCGGCGCAACCGUCCCCAUCCCCUCGCCGCCGCCGCCGCCGCUUCUCCGUGCUCGCCGCCUGGGCGCACCAGCCGGACGACGACGCCACCUCGAGCGGCGAGGAGAGGCCCAGCUGCGCUCCCCCCGGCGAGGUUUCCUGGAGAAGGGGCUGCGCUCCCGGCGAGAUUACCCGGAGGAGGAGCUCUGCUCCGAGCCUGAGCUCUGCCGGCGUCGUCAGGACGCUCCAGCGCCUGGAGAGGAAGCCCGCCAUCGCGUUCGCCUACUUCAAGGACACCGAGAGCAUCGGCUUCCGCCAUGACCUUGCCACCUACGCGGAGAUCAUCCGCGUAGUGUCACAUAAGGGCCAGGGGAGGAUUCUGUUUUCCUUGUUCAGUGAGAUCCUCUCGCCGGCCGAUGGCGGUGGCGGCGGCCCUGAGAUCGUGCCGCUCAUGGAUCAGCUCAGAAGUACGUGCACUACUUCGUAUGCUCUCUUGUUUGCGACUGACUGCUUGAUCACAACAUGCACCACUUGUCGCAGUGCACAGGACACGGUAGGGCUGUUUGGUGAUCUCUGUAGGCUUGGAAUCGUCCCGGCAGUUUGGACUUGCAACAUACUUCUCAAAUUUGCAGCUGAGAGCGGUGACUCGGAGAUUGUUGUAUCAGCUUAUGAUCAAAUCAAGGAAUUUGGAUUGACCUUGGAUGCUCACGCGUUGGUCCUUAUCACUAGGUCUUUCUUUCGAGAAAAGAAGGCAGACAAAGCAUUCCAAAUGUGGGUUGAGAUGAUUGAAAUGGGGGUGAAACCAGAUGUAAUUGCAUAUUCAUCAUUUAUAACUGGUCUGUGUGAUUGCGGAAAGGUUGAUUUGGCUUAUGCGAUUCUGCAAGAGAUCAACAGGGAGGGGAUUCAAGUUGAGGACAUGGCUUAUAACAUGGUAAUGGAUGGGCUAUGCAAGGAAAUGAGACUGCAGGAGGCUGAAAUGCUCUUGGAGAACAAGACCAGACAAGGGUUCACACCAGAUAUAUAUGGUUAUAGCUAUCUCAUUCGGAGUUAUGGCAAAGCGGGCAACCUACUCAAGGUGUUGGACCAUUAUCAAGCCAUGGUAUCCCAUGGUUUCGAAACAAACUGCCACAUUGCGAGUUAUCUUCUACAAUGCUUUAUGAAGUUAGGCAUGACAUCUCAAGUUACAGAGCAUUUCCAGAAACUCAGAGAUUCGGGACUCCAUCUAGAUGGCGUUCUGUAUAACAUUGCUAUGGAUGCUUAUUGCAAGGAUGGGAACAUGGAUGAGGCGGUUAAGCUACUGAGAGAAAUGAAGGCUGAGGGUCUGACACCUGACAGAAUUCACUAUACAUGCGUGAUCAAGGGUUAUUGCUUGAAGGGAGAUGUACCAAAUGCACGUCAAGCAUUUGAAGUGAUGCUGAAGGCCAAUGUAAAGCCAGACGUUGUUACAUAUAACAUAUUGGCCAGUGGAUUUUGCAAGAAUGGUCUUGUUACGGAGGUGUUUGACCUUCUAGACCAUAUGGCGGAUCGAGGGUUAGAGCCUAAUUCACUCACUUAUGGUAUAAUAAUUGAUGGGUUUUGCAGAAGUGGCAACCUUAGUGAAGCAGAGGUGUUAUUUAAUAUAGUAGAAGAGAAAGGAAUCGAACGCAUCGAAGUAUUGUACAGUUCAAUGGUUUGUGGCUAUUUGCAUUCAGGCUGGACUGAUCAUGCUUACAUGCUUUUUCUUAGGGUUGCUAAGCAAGGAAAAUUUGUGGAUCGUUUCUCAUGUUCAAAGUUGACGAAUGACCUUUGUAGGGAUGGAAAUGCCCAGGGAGCUUCAACAGUUUGCAGCAUGAUGUUAGAAAAUAAUGUUAUUCCUGAUGUAAUUUCAUAUACCAAACUCAUAUCAGCCUAUUGUCAGACAGGAGAUAUGCACAAUGCUCGCUUAUGGUUCUAUGAUAUGGUUCAGCGAGGACUUUCUGCUGAUGUUAUUGUAUACACUAUACUAAUGAAUGGUUACUGCAAGGUUGGCCAGAUGGAAGCAGCUUGCAAAUUGUUUGAUCAGAUGACAAGUUUAGGUAUUAAGCCUGACGUAAUUGCAUAUACCAUGCUACUGGAUGGUCACCUAAAAGAGUACCUGCAGCGGUGCUGGGAGGGCGUUAGUAAGGAGAGAAGGGUCUAUGUUCUUGGAACAAAGCAGAACAGGUUGCUCAGCUCUAUGAAAAAAAUGGAAAUCGAACCUGAUGUACCCUUUUACACCGUAUUGAUAGAUGGGUACUGCAAAGCCGGUGAUUUUGAGAAAGCCCGGGGAGAAUUUGAUGAGGUGUUGCAGAAAGGGCUGACUCCUGAUCAAUAUGUAUACACAGCUCUUAUAAGUGGAUAUUGCAGCCAGGGCGAAAUAGAGAAGGCACAAGAUCUUUUUGAAGAAAUGGUAGACAGGGGAAUGAAACCAGGUGUACUGGCCUUUUCUGUAUUAAAUCAGAAAACCUUGAGGGAAAGGCAGUAUAAG
rnacentral:rRNA from 1 species